UACGAAGGGGGCUAGCGUUGCUCGGAAUGACUGGGCGUAAAGGGCGCGUAGGCGGAUGGCUUUGUCGGGCGUGAAAUUCCAGGGCUUAACCUUGGGGCUGCGUUCGAGACGGGUUGUCUUGAGUGGGGAAGAGGGUCGUGGAAUUCCCAGUGUAGAGGUGAAAUUCGUAGAUAUUGGGAAGAACACCGGUGGCGAAGGCGACUCACUGGCCCAUUACUGACGCUGAGGCGCGAAAGCGUGGGGAGCAAACAGG
rnacentral:rRNA from 1 species